ensembl:lncRNA
AGACUGUCUUGUACCCCUACUUGGACAAUUUGUCCCAUUUAGUUAUUGAACUUUAACAGACAGACAGAGCAGUGGGAGAGAGAGGUCUAGGUGGUGAAGAGAGAGAGGUCUAGGUGGUGAAGAGAGAGAGGUCUAGGUGGGGUGGUGAAGAGAGAGAGGUCUAGGUGGUGAAGAGAGAGAGGUCUAGGUGGUGAAGAGAGAGAGGUCUAGGUGGUGAGAGGUCUAGGUGGUGAAGAGAGAGAGGUCUAGGUGGUGUGGUGAAGAGAGAGAGGUCUAGGUGGUGAAGAGAGAGAGGUCUAGGUGGUGAAGAGAGAGAGGUCUAGGUGGUGAAGAGAGAGAGGUCUAGGUGGUGAAGAGAGAGAGGUCUAGGUGGUGAAGAGAGAGAGGUCUAGGUGGUGAAGAGAGAGAGGUCUAGGUGGUGUGGUGAAGAGAGCAGUAGGAGAGAGAGGUCUAGGUGGUGUGGUGAAGAGAGCAGUGGGAGAGAGAGGUCUAGGUGGUGAAGAGAGCAGUGGGAGAGAGAGGUCUAGGUGGUGUGGUGAAGAGAGCAGUGGAGUGGUGGAGUUAUCAUGGUGUUUAGCAACCCUGAGGGGAAGGACAGGGCAGGAAGGAAGGCCGUAGAGUAGCAUCUCUCUUUCGAU